ensembl:lncRNA
UCGAAAAUUUGUAGAAAAUGAACUUAUAAAUAAAUUUAUAGGAAAAAAGUCAUGGAAAUUUGCUGAGGUUUAAACCAGCUCUGACCUCUAAACUGGAUCACUCGUAGCCUGUUUGUUUCUAACUGAGUUUAUUUUAAUUGUAUCUACGAUUAGACGUUUGUCUCCAAGUUUAAAAGUGUAACAUGUUUUGAAACUUGGGGCUGACAUUUUCAGAUAAUCCUUGAAAAAUAAAAGGUUAUUAAUCUCAAUGGAAUCUUCAUGUUUAAAUUAGAGUUAAAUGCAAAUAAAAUGAUGGGCUUUAGCUUUUUCAUGAGAGGAGAACAUCAUGUCCUUAAAAAAGUAAUAAUAUAAUGAACAAAAAUCUGCAAUUGAAUUAAAAUGUUUGUUGAACGCUGCAGCAGCAGUGUGUUUGAUUCGUUUAAUUUGAACCGCAAGUCUGACGUACCGGACGGGCGGAGCUAGAAGUUCCUGUUUUAUUGGUCUUCACACGGGGUGCGCUGAUGAAAAAACAGGCCCACUUUUGAUGGAGAAACCACGGCGUUUGGCUCCUUCUCAGCCGUCUGAAAUUGCUAAUGACAUGAUAAAACGCAGAAUACCACCGAAACAGGAUGCAGCUGAUCACGCAGUUAAGGCCUGUGACAAAACGGGAUCGUUGGAAGUAAAGUUCAUCAACUCAAUUAAAGGGCGGGGUGUGUUUGCCACAAAUACUUUUAAAAGGGGAGACUUUGUGGUGGAGUACAGGGGGAAUUUAAUCAAUUCUGAAGAAUCACAAAGGAGGAGGAGACUGUAUCACACAGCAUCUGCUGUUUUCAUGUUUGAUUUCUCUUGGCAAGAAAGAUGGUGGUGGUGAGUACAGAAUUUAUACAAAAUAAAUAAGAUAAGUAUUGCAUUUAUUUAAAGCACAUUACACUGCUUCAAGAAGUGCUGCUUUUUAAAAGUUUUAGUUUUCCCAAACAACAAUUUGGCCUUAGAAAUUCUAAAACUUUCUUGUCUCUCUGUUUAGUAUUGAUGCAUCUCAAGAGGAUGACAGUCUUGGAAGAUUAGUCAAUGAUGAUCACAUCAGUCCAAACUGUAAAAUAAAAAAGAUGAUGGUUGAUGGGAAGCCACAUCUGUUCCUCUUUGCUGUAAAGGAUAUCAGUCCUGGAGACGAAAUAACCUAUAACUAUGGCGGAACUGGCUGGCCAUGGAGAGAGCAGGUAUGUAAAAAAAAAAACAUGUUCAAAAUAUUAAUUAAUAUAAGUUGCAUUUUUUUCCUUUUUGUCUGUCAUAACUAAACCCCCUCAGAGUUAUGAUGACUGUCAUAAAUUAAAGUUGGAACACAGAAGAUUUAUUGUAGUACACUGGGACGUUUUUAUCAGCUCAGCCAGCAGGCUAACUUUUAUCUGCUCAACAUAUUUAGCUACUGCAGUCAGCUUAGGUGCUGCAGAAUAAGAAACCAUGACAUUUUGCUGUUUGUCUGCAAUUUCUCUGUGUUUAUUAGCGUAUCGUUCACUGUCGGCUGGCUCUGUGAUUUUGUUAAAGAUGCCGUAUUGAACUGGGACUUAAUGCAGACCGAUGAUUCGCUGUUGCCAUGCGGUGCCUAAAGGGGAUAACAGCCAAAGGAGAAAGUAGUUUUGUUUUGAAGGCUGUUAAUCAUGCAGCUUUCUUACCAGCAUGUAGAAUGCCCAGUGACAUUACAAAUGGCUGUUACACUACCUUCCUUCUUCAGUUUAAAAUACCAACAAAAUACAAACAUUUUAGCACUCCUGUGGAGGCAUGUUAGCUUUGUGUUAGCCUUCUAGCUAACAGCUGCAUUUUAUGGUGUCUGAAUUCCCGCCUGCCGUCAAUUGUGACAUAAUAGAAGGGUUUUUGUCCAAGAAACAAAGAAUACUGAUGUAGAGGAACUUGUUGAGAUUAAAGUGUAUCCUUAAUGUUCUUUAAAAUGGUAGAAAAACACCAUCUGAGGUCAAAAAGUUACUUUGGUUAUCCUUCCAGGUUUUCAGACCACUAGCAGGUUUUUAAAAAUACUAAAUCAAGGGAAGUGGGCAGACUUCCCUAAAAUACGCACAGUUUUAGUUUAACGAUGGUUAAUGUUUGUGUAUGUUGGGGUUGUACAAACUCCUCUUUGUCUUGACAUCGUGUUCAUCGAUUUACACAAGAGAAAAUGAUAAUGAGAAGCACAGAGUUCAGAUCAUAUAAACGUAGAGCCGACUAGGGCUGCAACAAACGAUUACUUGGAUAAUCGAUGAAUCACAUGGGGUCUCGACACGAUUAAUCGGAUUACAUAGGGACAUUUUUAAAAACUGCUAGGGAAACGUUAUUUUUCUCCUUCCUUCACUUUAUUAAACACAACAUUAUUAGAAAACAGUUCAAUAGCAGAAAAACAACAUGCCACCACCUAAAUUGCCUUUUAAGACAGAGACCCUAAGCUGCACCUAUCUGUGACUUAAAAUGCUUGGUCCAAGUUAAACAGCUUAAAGAGCAAGUCAACCCCUACCAGAGUCUAACUCCACUCCCGCUUCAUGUUUGAAAAAUGCAACACAUUCUUUUGCCUGGCAGACCGAGAGGGCGGAGCCGCUAACAAAUACACACACACUCAGGCUCACGACAGCAUUGUGACAUCAUAAUGUACCAGUUUACAUCAUAGCAUACUUCUUAGCCAAUAGCGGUGGCAGAUUUAAAUUAAAAUACAGUGCAGAGUUUUNGUUUUAGCUCCUUGUAAUGGGUGUGUUUUGUUUUAGCCUGUGCAGCACUUUGGGCAGCUCCCAUGCUGCAUUUUAAAUGUGCUAUAUAAAUAAACUAUGCUAUGCUAUGCUAUGCUAUGCUAUUUGAGAAGAAGUGUAAAGAUAAACUGCAUCAAGUUUAUCUUUAAGUGGAACAUCCCUAAUGGAUUCCAGUGGAUGAUGUAUAGUAAUGACUAAAAACAUGUAUUUGUUGCAACUUUAAUUACAUAAAAAAAGGUUACAACAACGAUCAACAUAUAAUAAGAAUUCUUUCAAAGAAGUCUUUCAAGACCAUGACAUUAGAUAUUACAGUAAAAUAUUACAGUAUUUAAAAAAAAUAAUGCUGCCUAACGCUAGUCUUCAGAAUGAAAAUCACAAUUUUUAGAAUUGUGUUCUUGUUGCCAUUUUAAAAUCUUUAGACCUUAGUUGGCCAGACUGAAGGAUUCAGACAUAAUGAUGGUAAACAUUCUCAGAUUUAAGGAAUAAAAAUUGUUACUAGGAUAAAAAAAUUGGAUUGGUGCUAUCCAACAGACAACAGGUUUAAAAAAUUAUUCAAGCUGAAACAAAUGCUAAUAAAACCCCUGAAUCCUUGUAAAACCACUGCUCAUUAUUGGCGCUGGCUUGCGGUAACCUACUUUUUCUUGUCAUUGCAGUUUUAAUUCACAGGCAGGGUAAAAUCCUCUUGUAUUAUCUCCAUGUCUCAGUUAUAUAAGGCAAAUGCUUUGGCAGGUUUGAAAACUCAAGAUGUUUGUGAACACAAGCAGUAAUCUAUCCAAGACAGUUGUGUUCCUUAACAUUGUGGGAGGUGUUCAAUGAGCAUUAUUGACAGUAACAAAGAGAAUUUCUCCAGGCUAAUGUGCCGCAUUACUGCCCUCUUGUGGCCAAACCUGACAACUGUAACAGAUGUCACACUUCAGAGUAAAUGCAAGAUUAAGAAGCAUUAAAUGUUAAUAUAAAAAAACAAAACCCCCUAAAAUAAAGCUACUUUAAGUAGGAGGCACUCUAAACUACAAUUCACAGUGAGAGUGAAGACAUUGCUUCAACAGCUGUGGGAGUUAGUGAACUCGCUGUGAACACUGUCAAGUUUAAGAUCAACACUGAUGUAAUCACUACAUUCACAGAGUUUGUAUUUGGUUUAGCACGGCAGUCAGUCACAAAUUCAACUUAAGCAUCAAGAGGUGGAAAUGUAUGUGCAUAUGCACACAUCCCAUCCACAAUGCUGUUAAAAAUCUGACUGGAUUAGACUGGAAUAUGGAAAAACUCUACAGCACUGGGACGAAUUUAAAAAGGUCAAAAAUGACCAGACAUGAGUGGCAUGAUGAGGAAAAGUAGACAAAAACAAGUUACAAGUUUUGAUGUAUUAUCAAUAUUUACAUAUUUAAUGUUAUAAAAAGUUUUUUUUUAAAUGCUAUUGUAAAAACUAGAACACAAAUUAAACGCUGACAGCUUUAUAGUGCAGCUGUCUGGUUCAAACUAAAAACUUAUUUAUCUUCUGAUUUCCCCACUCUGCAUGAAGAGUUUAAAGUAGGGUUGUCAUGAUACUAAAAUUUCAUUCAAUUCGAUACUUGAAAGAAAAAAAACUCGAUACUCGAUUUCGGUACUAUUUAAAAACACCCAUUUAACGAACAAGUUUAUUCAAAAAAUAACAUUCCUCAAUAGGGAUGAGUACCGAAUUCGGUACUUUUUAAGGUACCGACCGAAUUCCAUAGUACCGACCGAAACACCGAUUCACGUCAUUUCAAACGGUGCCUCGUUUCGGUACUGCCAAGACAGUUGCGCAUGCGCAAGAGCGUUAUGUCGCCGGUCCCUGCGAGCCCGUUGUAAACAGAGCAAGCAUGGUAGAAAGAACGCACGCUAAAGCUUGGGUCCACUUCACUAAAUGUGAUGGGUAACUGGGUGAUGAAACUAGCGACAGACAACGAUCUAAGUGAGACAUCCUCAUCUUAAUCUGCUCCAGUAGGUAAAUAAAAUGUUUAAGAUAACGUUACCUUGAUUUGUUAGCUUCCGUUUCGCUAAUGGUGCGUUCGCUUUCUCCUCGGAACUCCGAAUUUCCGACUAGAAGAACAUGAACGCGCUCUAAAGUUUGGCUUUACUUUACUAAAUGCGACGGGUGAAUGGGUGAAGGUAAAACCAGCGACAACGAUCUAAGUUUGAGGCAUCAUCGUUUUAAUCUGCUCCAGCAGCUAAAUAAACUGUUAAAGAUAACGUUAGCUUGAUAUGUUAGCUUCCAUUGCCACCGUUGUUA